rnacentral:tRNA from 1 species
AGGGGGUAGCUUCAACUGGCAGCGCAGCGGAUUCAGUGAUACCGAAAAUCAGCGCGUGUUGGAAGUUCGAAUCUUUCCACCCCUGCCA